rnacentral:rRNA from 1 species
GAUGAACGCUGGCGGCGUGCCUAAUACAUGCAAGUCGAGCGAACGGACGAGAAGCUUGCUUCUCUGAUGUUAGCGGCGGACGGGUGAGUAACACGUGGAUAACCUACCUAUAAGACUGGGAUAACUUCGGGAAACCGGAACUAAUACCGGAUGAUAUUUUGAACCGCAUGGCUCAAAAGUGAAAGACGGUCUUGCUGUCACUUAUAGAUGGAUCCGCGCUGCAUUAGCUAGUUGGUAAGGUAACGGCUUACCAAGGCAACGAUGCAUAGCCGACCUGAGAGGGUGAUCGGCCACACUGGAACUGAGACACGGUCCAGACUCCUACGGGAGGCAGCAGUAGGGAAUCUUCCGCAAUGGGCGAAAGCCUGACGGAGCAACGCCGCGUGAGUGAUGAAGGUCUUCGGAUCGUAAAACUCUGUUAUUAGGGAAGAACAUAUGUGUAAGUAACUGUGCACAUCUUGACGGUACCUAAUCAGAAAGCCACGGCUAACUACGUG